GACGAACGCUGGCGGCGUGCUUAACACAUGCAAGUCGAACGAAGUGGCGAACGGGUGAGUAACGCGUAAUAAACCUGCCCUUCAGAGGGGGACAACAGUUGGAAACGACUGCUAAUAUCGCAUACGGAAGGAGGGGAUCGCGUCUGAUAAGCUGGUUGGAGGGGUACCGGCCAACCAAGGCUAUGCUCAGUAGCCGGUCUGAGAGGAUGAACGGCCAGAUUGGGACUGAGACACGUCCCAGACUCCUACGGGAGGCAGCAGUGGGGAAUCUUCCGCAAUGGACGAAAGUCUGACGGAGCAACGCCGCGUUAGUGAUGACGGCCUUCGGGUUGUAAAGCUCUGUUAAUCGGGACGCGGUACCGGAAUAGAAAGCCACGGCUAACUACGUGCCAGCAGCCGCGGUAAUUC
rnacentral:rRNA from 1 species